rnacentral:rRNA from 1 species
UACGUAGGGGGCAAGCGUUGUCCGGAAUCAUUGGGCGUAAAGAGCGUGUAGGCGGCCAGAAAAGUCCGCUGUGAAAACUCGAGGCUCAACUUCGAGCUGUCGGUGGAAACUUUCUGGCUAGAGUCCGGAAGAGGAGAGUGGAAUUCCCGGUGUAGCGGUGAAAUGCGCAGAUAUCGGGAGGAACACCUAUGGCGAAGGCAGCUCGCUGGGACGUUACUGACGCUGAGACGCGAAAGCGUGGGGAGCAAACAGG